rnacentral:rRNA from 1 species
CCUACGGGAGGCAGCAGUCGGGAAUAUUGCACAAUGGAGGAAACUCUGAUGCAGUGACGCCGCGUGCAGGAAGAAGGCUUUCGGCUUGUAAACUGCUUUAGACAGGGAAGAAACAAGACAGUACCUGUAGAAUCAGCUCCGGCUAACUCCGUGGCAGCAGCAGCGGUAAUACGUAGGGAGCAAGCGUGAUCCGGAUUUAUUGGGUGUAAAGGGUGCGUAGACGGGAAUUUAAGUUAGGUGUGAAAUCCCUCGGCUUAACCGAGGAACUGCAACUAAAAUUGAAUUUCUUGAGUGCGGGAGAGGAAAGUGGAAUUCCUGGUGUAGCGGUGAAAUGCGUAGAUAUCAGGAGGAACACCAGUGGCGAAGGCGACUUGCUGGACCGUAACUGACGUUGAGGCACGAAAGUGUGGGGAGCAAACAGGAUUAGAUACCCUUGUAGUC